rnacentral:rRNA from 1 species
UCGGGAAUUUUGGGCAAUGGGCGAAAGCCUGACCCAGCAACGCCGCGUGAAGGAUGAAAUCCCUCGGGAUGUAAACUUCGCAAGAACGGGAAGAAUAAGCGAGAGCUAAUACCUCUCGCGAUGACGGUACUGUUUGUAAGCUCCGGCUAACUCCGUGCCAGCAGCCGCGGUAAUACGGGGGGAGCAAGCGUUGUUCGGAUUUACUGGGCGUAAAGGGCGCGUAGGCGGCCACUGCAAGUCAGUUGUGAAAUCUCCGGGCUUAACUCGGAAAGGUCAACUGAUACUGCAGGGCUAGAGUGCGGAAGGGGCAACUGGAAUUCUCGGUGUAGCGGUGAAAUGCGUAGAUAUCGAGAGGAACACCUGCGGCGAAGGCGGGUUGCUGGGCCGACACUGACGCUGAGGCGCGGAAGCCAGGGGAGCGAACGGGAUUAGAUACCCCGGUAGUCCUGGCCUUAAACGAUGGAUGCUUGGUGUCUGGGGUUUUAUAGUCCCCGGGUGCCGUCGCUAACGCUUUAAG